GAUGAACGCUGGCGGCGUGCCUAAUACAUGCAAGUCGAGCGAACAGACGAGGAGCUUGCUCCUCUGACGUUAGCGGCGGACGGGUGAGUAACACGUGGAUAACCUACCUAUAAGACUGGGAUAACUUCGGGAAACCGGAGCUAAUACCGGAUAAUAUAUUGAACCGCAUGGUUCAAUAGUGAAAGACGGUUUUGCUGUCACUUAUAGAUGGAUCCGCGCCGCAUUAGCUAGUUGGUAAGGUAACGGCUUACCAAGGCGACGAUGCGUAGCCGACUUGAGAGGGUGAUCGGCCACACUGGAACUGAGACACGGCCCAGACUCCUACGGGAGGCAGCAGUAGGGAAUCUUCCGCAAUGGGCGAAAGCCUGACGGAGCAACGCCGCGUGAGUGAUGAAGGUCUUCGGAUCGUAAAACUCUGUUAUUAGGGAAGAACAAAUGUGUAAGUAACUAUGCACGUCUUGACGGUACCUAAUCAGAAAGCCACGGCUAACUACGUG
rnacentral:rRNA from 1 species